rnacentral:rRNA from 1 species
UACGUAGGGGGCAAGCGUUGUCCGGAAUCAUUGGGCGUAAAGCGCGUGUAGGCGGCCCGAUAAGUCCGCUGUGAAAGUCCAGGGCUCAACCCUGGAAUGCCGGUGGAUACUGUCGGGCUCGAGUCCGGAAGAGGCGAGUGGAAUUCCUGGUGUAGCGGUGAAAUGCGCAGAUAUCAGGAGGAACACCGAUGGCGAAGGCAGCUCGCUGGGACGGUACUGACGCUGAUGCGCGAAAGCGUGGGGAGCGAUCCGG